rnacentral:lncRNA from 1 species
UCAUCCCCAAUUUUGAUGAACUCCCGAUGAUCUUCUGACGAGCUUUCGACGAACUCUCGAUGAACUUUCGGCAAGCUUUCACUGCAUCAUCCAAUCCUUCGGUGUAUCCCCUGAUUCAUCCGGCCCGAUGCCCGAUCAAUGACUCUGGCCCAAUAUUUGAUUCUUCGUUAAUCAUUUUGCCUUACGAGUGUAGUUAGUCCUAUAUCACUUAUCUCAAUAUAUAGUUUAGAUCAUUAAUU